rnacentral:sRNA from 1 species
AGAGAAGAGCAAAAGCUGAACCCAGCAUGUGGCAGAUUGACAUUUGUCCCUGUCUUUAACAGUCAGCUAGCUGUGUCUUUUCUCUUUAGGUUCUUAUAUAGUAAUUCCUUACCCAUAUGGGGGAUUCGAUUUCUAAGUACCCUUGGUUGGUAAAAAUGAAAGUCUCAUAAAAAGAUUAAGUUUAAGAUUGGAGUUAGGUAGGAGAAAACCAUAAAAAUGACAUCAAAUAUUUUAUUUUUUAAAUAUUUAUAUAUAAUUUAUUUUUUGGCUUUAUUUUUUUAAUCGACAAAAAUAUGUAUUUAUCAUGUACAAUAUGUUUUGAAAUAUGUAUACAUGGUGGAAUGGCUAAAUAGAGCUAAUUAGCACAUGCUUUUUGUGAGAACAUUCAAAAUCCACUCUUAGCAAUCUUCAGAAAUACUGUACAUUGCUAUUAACUGUAGUCACCAUGUUGUUCAGUAGAUCUCUUGAACCUAUUCCACCAGUCUAACUAAAAUUUUGUAUCCUUUAAACAAUACCUCCCUACCCGGCCCCACCCCCCAGACCCUGGUAACCACUACUCUAAUCUCUGCUCUAUGAGAUGUCUGUAUUUUAAAACACAGUAAAUAAAAGUUCUGGAAAGUAUCUGUUUCCAAAAUAAAGCAUGUUCAUCAUUGUC